UUUGUUGUGCCGGAAUAAACGGAUUAUAUUGAUGUUGUAAAUUAUGAGAAUUUCUCCAACAUAA
rnacentral:tRNA from 1 species